UGCCCAGCAACUUCUAUCCCUACUUCCUCGCGGUACUGGCCGGGGUACGAGUAACCUUAGGGAAGA
rnacentral:ribozyme from 1 species